AGGAGUGUAGCUCAGUGGUAGAGCACUUGCCUAGCAUAUGCGAGGCCCUGGGUUCAAUCCCCAGCACUGCAA
rnacentral:tRNA from 1 species